UACGGAGGGAGCUAGCGUUGUUCGGAAUUACUGGGCGUAAAGCGCGCGUAGGCGGUUUUUUUAAGUCAGAGGUGAAAGCCCAGUGCUCAACACUGAACUGCCUUUGAAACUGGAAAACUUGAAUCUUGGAGAGGUCAGUGGAAUUCCGAGUGUAGAGGUGAAAUUCGUAGAUAUUCGGAAGAACACCAGUGGCGAAGGCGACUGACUGGACAAGUAUUGACGCUGAGGUGCGAAAGCGUGGGGAGCAAACAGG
rnacentral:rRNA from 1 species